rnacentral:tRNA from 1 species
GAGGGUGUUGCUCAGUGAUAGAGCCCUUGUCUAGCAUAUGUGAGGGCCUGGGUUCUAUCCCCAGCACUUCA